rnacentral:rRNA from 1 species
GGGCUUGACAUCCCACGAACCUGCCUGAAAGGGCGGGGUGCCCGCAAGGGAGCGUGGAGACAGGUGGUGCAUGGCUGUCGUCAGCUCGUGUCGUGAGAUGUUGGGUUAAGUCCCGCAACGAGCGCAACCCUCACCCCUAGUUGCCACCGGGUAAUGCCGAGCACUCGAGGGGAACUGCCAGCGUCAAGCUGGAGGAAGGCGGGGAUGACGUCAAGUCAUCAUGCCCCUUACGCCCUGGGCUACACACGUGCUACAAUGGCCAGUACAAAGGGAUGCGAGACCGUAAGGUGGAGCUAAUCCCAAAAAGCUGGUCUAAGUUCAGAUUGCAGUCUGCAACUCGACUGCAUGAAGGGGGAAUCGCUAGUAAUCGCGCAUCAGCACGGCGCGGUGAAUACGUUCCCGGGCCUUGUACACACCGCCCGUCACACCACGAAAGCUGGCUGUACUCGAAGUCGCUGAGA